rnacentral:rRNA from 1 species
AUUGAACGCUGGCGGCAUGCCUUACACAUGCAAGUCGAACGGCAGCACGGGUGCUUGCACCUGGUGGCGAGUGGCGAACGGGUGAGUAAUACAUCGGAACAUGUCCUGUAGUGGGGGAUAGCCCGGCGAAAGCCGGAUUAAUACCGCAUACGAUCUACGGAUGAAAGCGGGGGACUUUGGGGCCUGCGGCAAUGGGGUUGCCGAUGGCUGAUUAGCUAGUUGGUGGGGGUAAGGCCUACCAAGGCGACGAUCAGUAGCUGGUCUGAGAGGACGACCAGCCACACUGGGACUGAGACACGGCCCAGACUCCUACGGGAGGCAGCAGUGGGGAAUUUUGGACAAUGGGCGAAAGCCUGAUCCAGCAAUGCCGCGUGUGUGAAGAAGGCCUUCGGGUUGUAAAGCACUUUUGUCCGGAAAGAAAUCCUUGGCCCUAAUACGGUCGGGGGAUGACGGUACCGGAAGAAUAAGCACCGGCUAACUACGUG